CGUAUCGAUUUGAUGGGGAGUUU
rnacentral:siRNA from 1 species